rnacentral:rRNA from 1 species
UACGAAGGGGGCGAGCGUUGUUCGGAUUUACUGGGCGUAAAGGGCGCGUAGGCGCUUGUCAGUCAGGCGUGAAAGCCCCGGGCUCAACCUGGGAACGGCGCUUGGGGACGGCGAGGCUGGAGUUCGGGAGAGGAGAGUGGAAUUCCCAGUGUAGAGGUGAAAUUCGUAGAUAUUGGGAAGAACACCGGUGGCGAAGGCGGCUCUCUGGGCAGUAACUGACGCUGAGGAGCGAAAGCGUGGGGAGCGAACAGG